rnacentral:rRNA from 1 species
UGGGGAAUAUUGGACAAUGGGGGAAACCCUGAUCCAGCAACGCCGCGUGGGGGACGAAGGCCUUCGGGUCGUAAACUCCUGUCAGUAGGGGAAGAAUGUCUCUCGUUCAAUAGGCGAGAGGCUUGACGGUACCUGCAGAGGAAGCCCCGGCUAACUCCGUGCCAGCAGCCGCGGUAAUACGGAGGGUGCGAGCGUUAAUCGGAAUUACUGGGCGUAAAGCGCGCGUAGGCGGUUUGGUAAGUCAGAUGUGAAAGCCCCGGGCUCAACCUGGGAACUGCAUUUGAUACUGCCUGACUAGAGUAUGGUAGAGGGAAGUGGAAUUCCACAUGUAGCGGUGAAAUGCGUAGAGAUGUGGAGGAACACCAGUGGCGAAGGCGGCUUCCUGGACCAAUACUGACGCUGAGGUGCGAAAGCGUGGGGAGCAAACAGGAUUAGAUACCCGUGGUAGUCCAGCGCCGUAAAACGAUGUCAACUAGCCGUUGGGAGGGUUGCCUCUUAGUGGCGCAGCUAACGCGAUAAGUUGACCGCCUGGGAGUACGGUCGCAAGA